UGGGGAAUUUUGGACAAUGGACGCAAGUCUGAUCCAGCCAUGCCGCGUGCGGGAAGAAGGCCUUCGGGUUGUAAACCGCUUUUGUCAGGGAAGAAACGAGUUUCUCUAAUACAGAGACUUAAUGACGGUACCUGAAGAAUAAGCACCGGCUAACUACGUGCCAGCAGCCGCGGUAAUACGUAGGGUGCAAGCGUUAAUCGGAAUUACUGGGCGUAAAGCGUGCGCAGGCGGUUAUGCAAGACAGAUGUGAAAUCCCCGGGCUUAACCUGGGAAUUGCAUUUGUGACUGCAUAGCUGGAGUGCGGCAGAGGGGGAUGGAAUUCCGCGUGUAGCAGUGAAAUGCGUAGAUAUGCGGAGGAACACCGAUGGCGAAGGCAAUCCCCUAGGCCUGCACUGACGCUCAUGCACGAAAGCGUGGGGAGCAAACA
rnacentral:rRNA from 1 species